rnacentral:rRNA from 1 species
UACGAAGGGUGCUAGCGUUGUUCGGAAUUACUGGGCGUAAAGCGCGCGUAGGCGGUUUAACAAGUCAGAGGUGAAAGCCCUGGGCUCAACCCAGGAAUUGCCUUUGAAACUGUUAGACUUGAGUGUCGGAGGGGAUAGCGGAAUUGACUAAUGUAGAGGUGAAAUUCGUAGAUAUUAGCAGGAACACCGGUGGCGAAGGCGGCUAUCUGGACGACAACUGACGCUGAGGCGCGAAAGCGUGGGGAGCAAACAGG